rnacentral:rRNA from 1 species
GUUGUCCCGGUUUAAGCGUGUAGGCUGGUUUUCCAGGCAAAUCCGGAAAAUCAAGGCUGAGGCGUGAUGACGAGGCACUGCGGUGCUGAAGCAACAAAUGCCCUGCUUCCAGGAAAAGCCUCUAAGCAUCAGGUAACAUCAAAUCGUACCCCAAACCGACACAGGUGGUCAGGUAGAGAAUACCAAGGCGCUUGAGAGAACUCGGGUGAAGGAACUAGGCAAAAUGGUGCCGUAACUUCGGGAGAAGGCACGCUGAUAUGUAGGUGAAGUCCCUCGCGGAUGGAGCUGAAAUCAGUCGAAGAUACCAGCUGGCUGCAACUGUUUAUUAAAAACACAGCACUGUGCAAACACGAAAGUGGACGUAUACGGUGUGACGCCUGCCCGGUGCCGGAAGGUUAAUUGAUGGGGUUAGCGCAAGCGAAGCUCUUGAUCGAAGCCCCGGUAAACGGCGGCCGUAACUAUAACGGUCCUAAGGUAGCGAAAUUCCUUGUCGGGUAAGUUCCGACCUGCACGAAUGGCGUAAUGAUGGCCAGGCUGUCUCCACCCGAGACUCAGUGAAAUUGAACUCGCUGUGAAGAUGCAGUGUACCCGCGGCAAGACGGAAAGACCCCGUGAACCUUUACUAUAGCUUGACACUGAACAUUGAGCCUUGAUGUGUAGGAUAGGUGGGAGGCUUUGAAGUGUGGACGCCAGUCUGCAUGGAGCCGACCUUGAAAUACCACCCUUUAAUGUUUGAUGUUCUAACGUUGACCCGUAAUCCGGGUUGCGGACAGUGUCUGGUGGGUAGUUUGACUGGGGCGGUCUCCUCCUAAAGAGUAACGGAGGAGCACGAAGGUUGGCUAAUCCUGGUCGGACAUCAGGAGGUUAGUGCAAUGGCAUAAGCCAGCUUGACUGCGAGCGUGACGGCGCGAGCAGGUGCGAAAGCAGGUCAUAGUGAUCCGGUGGUUCUGAAUGGAAGGGCCAUCGCUCAACGGAUAAAAGGUACUCCGGGGAUAACAGGCUGAUACCGCCCAAGAGUUCAUAUCGACGGCGGUGUUUGGCACCUCGAUGUCGGCUCAUCACAUCCUGGGGCUGAAGUAGGUCCCAAGGGUAUGGCUGUUCGCCAUUUAAAGUGGUACGCGAGCUGGGUUUAGAACGUCGUGAGACAGUUCGGUCCCUAUCUGCCGUGGGCGCUGGAGAACUGAGGGGGGCUGCUCCUAGUACGAGAGGACCGGAGUGGACGCAUCACUGGUGUUCGGGUUGUCAUGCCAAUGGCACUGCCCGGUAGCUAAAUGCGGAAGAGAUAAGUGCUGAAAGCAUCUAAGCACGAAACUUGCCCCGAGAUGAGUUCUCCCUGACUCCUUGAGAGUCCUGAAGGAACGUUGAAGACGACGACGUUGAUAGGCCGG